rnacentral:rRNA from 1 species
AGAGCGAACGCUGGCGGCGUGCUUAACACAUGCAAGUCGAGUGCGCGCCUGUAGCAAUACAGGUGGCGCACGGCGCACGGGUGCGUAACACGUGGGUAAUCUGCCCUUCGAUGGGGAAUAACUCCGGGAAACCGAAGCUAAUUCCGCAUAACAUUCCUUGGACCUCGGUCUGGGGAUUCAAAGCCGUAAGGCGUCGGAGGAGGAACCCGCGCACGAUUAGUUAGUUGGCAGGGUAACGGCCUACCAGACUUUGAUCGUUAGC